AAAUAUAUAUAGAUACGCCACUCCGCUGUUGGGGCUGGCGACACUACCGCCACGCCAAAAUUACACCUGGUGGCAAUUCACAGGUACUAAUCUACCCUUUGGGAACGUUUAAAAAAAAUCCUCCUCAGUUUCAGUUCAAUGCUCAGUGGGUAUAUCCAAGCAACUUUCGACUAGCAUCUGCUGUUUCCAAGAAAUGUCAAAACAAAGGCAUUUUUAUUUUUCGUUUUCUUUGCUGGUAGUUUAGCAUCCUUCGCAAAUGUUUUAUGAAUUUGCUGGUUGUGCCGUUUCUACCAUGCAGAUUCUAGCGGCGUGAAUGUUCCAGUCAAUAGAUCGAAAGUGUUGUGCUCUUCAAGAAAGCAGUGAGAUUCCGGAGAACUAUGAUGGUGAAAGCGAACUCGGAAACGAUGAAGCGGAAGUCUGUCUAGCCAUCCAUGGUGGAUGGCAAUCAACGUUCAGUCACACAUCCGGACAAACCUAAGACCUCGACUACUGAACAAGCAAGGGAACAAAUGCUGCCCCGCCAAAGAAGCUUCUCCUGCCACAGAAGCCCUCACUGAAAAUACGCCACCCUUUUUUUCCAAGUGCCCAAACACUUGAAUGAUUCAAUUAAGCCGCAUCUUAGAUCUAAUUUGUUUGUGUAUCAAUUUCAAUCCAAUCCAUUAUUAAAUUCAAGUGUUUUGGCGAUUGACUUUUUGGUAUUUUUUGACACCUUAUUUUCAUUCGGGUGGCUCAAAAAUUACAAGUGUUUUGCUCAUGAAUUUGCCCCACUGUGUUGAACAAUUCAAAGUGAUGAGGAAAACACUUGAAAUUGAUCUUGUUUUGAUUUGAAAUGCAGGUUCGCGACAGCUUCAUGAGACUUUGCUUUGUUUCCUCAUUUGAAAGUUUUGGCCGUCCGGUGUGUUCGUUUUUCGCAGACCGCGUGAGUUCGCUGCCGCCAUGUUCCAGUCCAGUAAAUUGCCUGCCCGGAUUGUGACCGUGAAGAUGAGCAUCGCCACAAGACUGCGUCCUCGGGCUCGGGCUCCGUAUGGCCAGCGGAAGGGCUUGGUCUCCCGGAUUCCCGGAUAGAAGCCAACUUUUGUGAUAAAGUUCCUUUCCGAACUAUUUGGAAGGAUGCAAAAGAGCUGCAGAUGCCGUACCAGGAAGUGGUUCCAGUGAGAAGCAAGAUUCGGAUGCAGGGGCCAAGCUAUGCGUCAUUCGGAUGGUCAAGGCACAGUUUGAGUCGAUGGAACCACCGCGGUUCCACCAAAGAGAAUUCCGCAUCAACAAGAAGAUUCUCCAGUGGCCUCCAUCUCCGCCGGCACCGGUGCUUCACUCGCCGACGCUGAGGAACCUCCCAGGAAGCAGUGGUGGUGUCGGGACAACCGGAUGAAAAAAUUACAAAAUUUUUACACACCAAGUUGUUCUUGAAGUUAGAAAAUAAAAGCAGCCAAAAAAUUUAAUUGCGCAACAUCUUCUUUAUU